rnacentral:rRNA from 1 species
UACGAAGGGGGCUAGCGUUGUUCGGAAUCACUGGGCGUAAAGGGCGCGUAGGCGGCUUUAUAAGUCGGGGGUGAAAGCCUGUGGCUCAACCACAGAAUUGCCUUCGAUACUGUAGAGCUUGAGACCGGAAGAGGUAAGUGGAACUGCGAGUGUAGAGGUGAAGUUCGUAGAUAUUCGCAAGAACACCAGUGGCGAAGGCGGCUUACUGGUCCGGUUCUGACGCUGAGGCGCGAAAGCGUGGGGAGCAAACAGG